GAUGAACGCUGGCGGCGUGCCUAAUACAUGCAAGUCGAGCGAACAGACGAGGAGCUUGCUCCUUUGACGUUAGCGGCGGACGGGUGAGUAACACGUAGGUAACCCACCUAUAAGACUGGGAUAACUUCGGGAAACCGGAGCUAAUACCGGAUAAUAUUUCGAACCGCAUGGUUCGAUAGUGAAAGAUGGCUUUGCUAUCACUUAUAGAUGGACCUGCGCCGUAUUAGCUAGUUGGUAAGGUAACGGCUUACCAAGGCAACGAUACGUAGCCGACCUGAGAGGGUGAUCGGCCACACUGGAACUGAGACACGGUCCAGACUCCUACGGGAGGCAGCAGUAGGGAAUCUUCCGCAAUGGGCGAAAGCCUGACGGAGCAACGCCGCGUGAAUGAUGAAGGUCUUCGGAUCGUAAAACUCUGUUAUUAGGGAAGAACAAACGUGUAAGUAACUGUGCACGUCUUGACGGUACCUAAUCAGAAAGCCACGGCUAACUACGUG
rnacentral:rRNA from 1 species